ACGUGGCCUGUCUCCGGUCCGAGCUCCUGUGCUGCAAGCUGCGACGUAAGGCUGUACGCACUCGAAGGAACGUGAGCUGAUUGAUGAACGUGUUAAACUUCCGCUCGUUUUUCUUUUCCUUUUUGCGAGGCUGCUAACCUUUCGCUUGUUUCAAUUUCCUGCAAGAACUGAAGAACAAGGUAUUGCCUUGAACCGAAAGAUUCAGAGAUUGGCGCGCCAUCUUUGUCAAGGUCAGAGGACCGAUCGCUAGCUUCGCUGAUCAUGGCCAAUGGCUGGCUCACUGAUCAUCUCUUGAUGUGUUGAGGCAAAACAAAAUGUGGCCUGUUCUUGGCCACAGCUUGAUUGGUAUGCGACAAGCCUGCGAUACACACCCCCUGCCUAGCCAUUCUGCUGGGUGUGGAUCUGCUGGGUGUGUAUACAGGAACCACCGACUUCAACUAUUAGAUGGCAAGUCGGCAGCCGAGGAAAGAUCUGAAGAUUCAGGGAGAGAGAGGCUCCCAUCCUUUCCUUGCAACAGGCAGCUGUACGAUUUUGGAGCCUGGCUGAUACCAAUGGAUAAGAAAGCAGAUACAAUCUUUCAGCACCCCCACCAAAAAGGGAAGGCAAUAGCUUUUGCAAGGUCUGAAUUGACCAAGACUGUUAGGCUAAACCAUCAAAGGCCAGGCCCAAAGUGACCCCACUGUGUUCCUGCAUUCGGUAGAAGCUAGCCAGCCGAGCACUGUUUCCUCCCUCCAGCAUCUGGGAUCCUCCCCAAUGUAGUGUCCAUCUCAACAAACCAGCCAAAUCAAUGAAAGCUAGACUCUAAAGCUGGAGCAUAUGCUGGAGAUAACUCAUUUGGUGCAGCUGCAAGCUAGCUUCCAGAGGGAAAAAAAACACACAUUAGAGUAUCCCAGUUCUUGAUAAACUUGGUGUGAUCCAAUGAGGGUACGCAAGGUGAAUUCAAUCUGUUAUAGAGGGGGCAAAAAAUCUUAGCUCAUAUCCUAGUGGAGUGAAGGAGAAUAAAGCCAUUUGAGGCUAGUGUUAUUGCCAUGGCAAGCAUGAGAUGACACCACUCAAGCUAAAGCGAUCUAUCUACUUUGCUGUCUGUUGCAACCUCACCAUAUAUCUUCCUUCACAGAGAAUUUUUGUUUCCUAUGCACAACAAUAAAGAGAAAAAGGAAGGGAGGAUCAGUUGUGUGGCCAUCCAAAUCCUGUCAGCCAGGGAUAACAAACUUGGCAGGAUAAGAUCCGAUCAUCUGCAACAUGUCCUACGGAUUAACGGUGCACGCUGUGACGGAUCAUCAUCCAGCUCCAGGAACAUGUUCGGCAGAUAGAGAUUACGAGAUGCUAACAACCAUGUGUCGGCAUGCAUGCAGAGCCUCACAGAUCUGGCUACCUGUUUAUGGGAGUUCUUGUGCAGGAGUAAGGUCAGUUAGCAUCCUCCUCUCACCUGUGAACUUGGAGCAGUCACGCAAGUCAUCUCAUGAACAAUUGAACAAGCACUGUGCGUAUGCUAAGCAAGCUGUGGCAGCAGUGACUUGACUGCAGUGGAGGCUGGCUGGCUAUCGAUCGAUCAGUUCUUGUGAGAUAAGGGAGGGGCCCAUCCUUGUUUAUGCACUGUGUUUCUGCCGGCUCCCUCCAUGAUGGUGUCGGCAGCUUCAAGCUGCUAUUACCAGGUAGUAGCAGCAAGAUCUGUAAACAUAAUCAUGAACUUUUUAAUUUCUUAGUAACUAGCACACUUUUUUUACUCUCAUCUUUUAGUCCUCAAAAAAGAUCUCGCUCUUUAGAGAAGGGAAAGCGGCUAGGGAAAUUAUACUAGCCCUAGAGGUGUGACCAGUGUCCCGGCCGGUGAAAGAUGCUUUGUGCGUGUUGCAGAAAGCAAGUGUCAAAAUGAAGGGUGAAAAAUCAUGAACCUUUAGGUGCAUGAAAUAUGUUGGAAUCAUAAGUCUUGAUGUGAAAUACUAGUAGCAAGAAAGAAG